rnacentral:lncRNA from 1 species
ACAGCGUUGCGGUCAGGGCAGAGCAAAAAAAACAAGACAUCAGUAUUGCCGAGUAUUUGCUAGUACCUGUUCCCAAGCUAAGAUCUCUCAUUGAAGUUGGAGCUCACUGAUUCCACUAGACUGUCUGGUCAGCAAGCAAUCACCAGGAAUCACCUGUAACCGUAUCUGCCUGCCGUGACACUCACUGCCGCCUUGAAUUAUCUAUCUAUCUAUCUAUCUAUCUAUCUAUCUAUCUAUCUAUCUAUUUAUCUUUUUAUUUUCACACAAGCAGUUGGGAAUAUAACUCAUAUCCUCAUGCCCACGCAUCAAGCAUGUUCCUAACUGAGCCAUCUCCCCAGCUCUUGGAGUUUCUGGGUUUGUUCGGAAGCCUUCUCCCUCCUCCAGAAAGAGGAGUGGAACAGGCACAUGUGAAUUCACUCUGUUGAGCCUAGAAGAGGUGAAAGAGAAAGGCUGCCCAUUUUCUAGAUGUUCCUCAUGAGCUAUAUGCGUGUACCACGAAGGCUUGCUUGGACCCAGAGCUAGGGCUGACCUAACUGAGAUGCUACCCAGGGGUUUCUGGCUCACUGUGGCCACCAUGGCUCCACAAACCACCUACUUAUAACAAAAUAAAAAAUUUUCUACAA